AGGUCUAUCAGGAAACCUGAGAAUUGGAGUGAGAAUCCCAGUGUGGAAAAUCAGGAAAGAGGCUGGUAUGAGCGACAGAGAAGUCAUUCAGGAAAGAGGUUAUUGAAUUCAUUGGAGAAUGAAUGCUGUUCUGAAUUUGUUUACCUCAACAAAUAGCUUACACCUCCAAUCCUGUCUUGGCGUGCCCUGCUCAGAAGACACAAGACACACCAGGAGUGACGUGAGGAAACAGGCAGUAAAGAUAAGCCUUUGCGACUGGGUUACUCAGACCCUCCCUGACAAGGAGGAGCCCAUCUUGAGUGUCCCAGGAGACCUGGACCUUGUGGACAUCCUGCAGAAUGGCAUAUGGAUCCAUUACAAUGAUGACAUCAUGCUGACUGGGCAAGAUGACAAGAGGUUGCUAUACACCAGAGGGCUUGGGAAGACACAUGCCCUGCAGAAGAAAAACCUGCUCCUGAUUACAAGGAUAUGUCGAUUGCAGGGAGGCAGAGGAAGAAAUACAACAGGAUGUCUAUCGAACACAACUUUGGAGUAAGACCUUGGGACCCAACUCCUGUUUGCUUCAUAUACAAGCUUUGAGACGUGAUGAGUUUGCCUCGAUUCUCUAAGCCUCAGUUUCCUCAUCUGUUGUUGUGAGGGAAAUAAUGCAUGGAAAGCUUUUAACACAAUGGCUGGCACACAGUGAAAGUGCAAGACGUUAACCAUUAUCAUGAGAGUUUUCAAUUGGAAUGAAUAGGAGACUUAAAUUUGCAUGAUUGUACUUUUACACUAAGCCAUUAAUGAUGCAUUCAUUUAGUUUUCUACUCCCAAAGAACAUAGAUUUGAUUAAUUAUAACAAGAAUUUAAAAAUAUUUCCAUUAUUCAGAAAUAACCUACAGAGUCUAAGCCUGUCCUUUCCUUCCUCCCUUUUUCCCAAUCUUUUUUUUUUUUUUUUUUUUUUGAAAGAAAUAGCAAUUAUGUAGUCAGAUUCACUGGCUCUUUCUUCUUCUCCCUGGUAACAGGCUAAGUCUUAACCUUGAUUAGGCAGCAUCGCAUCUGAUCUAAGUUCUUCCCAGCUUUCAGCCCAGCCUGCUUCCCCAGGCUUCAGAGCGCAGCUCUGCACCACCCUCUCCACCCCUGCUUAGCAUCAGAACAUUGCCAAAGCUAAGCAUCUAUGCAAUGUUUCUUUUGAAUAGUUGUCUACCUACUUGGAUAUUUUUUUCCUUCUCCCAGAGGCAAAAAUUGGACCACUUAAUCUAUGCUGUAGGACAGUCUUGCCCCUCAGAAAAUACUUGAGCAUAUUAAGUUGUUAUGAAAUGGAUCUGAGAAGCAGAGUUCUGAACCAUGCCCGUGAAUUUCCCAGCCUCAUCACACUGGCAUUCUUUCAUAGCCCCGAAAUACUUUCCACUUGCCCUUCCUAUGAAUGCAAGUAAAGCAAAGCCUCUUGACAAAGCAAAUUAAGAGUAAUCAAUGGUUUGGGUUUUUUUUUUAAUUAUUAUUUCCUGUGACUCAAAUCAAACCUAUUUCUCAACUGUAACGUACGAAAAGAGAGAGAUCAAGUUGACAUUUAGGAAAAUUGAACAUUGAUAAGUAAAUUGCCUUCACUCAGUCUCUUAGGUCCUCUCUCCUUUCCCCCUACCCCACGACACCCCGUGGCCCUGCUCUCUCUCACACACACAGCUGAAGGUAUCUUUAAAGGGUACCUAUUUCCUGCAGAUCACGCUUAUGUUAAUCUCACUUCAAGUACAGAUGCACCGAGGACAUUACAGGGUCAGUCAUUCUUAUCCACAAAGCUUUAGAUUCCACUACAUUAUUCAAACUGGACAAUGGACUUCCCCAUUUUGUGCCCAGACUUGCUCACUAAUAGAGUGACCUCCUUGUUAUGGGUGAGGAUAUAUUUGAUGCUAAAACUGCUACAAAUUUUUAUCAGCAUUUAAUCUUGAGACUGUGAAUUACUACAUCCUGCAUGUGUUGGUACCUUACUUUGAUUAAAAAUGGGAUAAAUCAA
rnacentral:lncRNA from 1 species